UAAUUUCGUGCCAGCACCCGCGGUAAUACGGAGGAUCCAAGCGUUAUCCGGAAUCAUUGGGUUUAAAGGGUCCGCAGGCGGUCUUUUAAGUCAGAGGUGAAAGCCUACAGCUCAACUGUAGAACUGCCUUUGAUACUGAAAGACUUGAGUAUUGUGAAGUGAUUAGAAUGUGUGGUGUAGCGGUGAAAUGCAUAGAUAUCACACAGAAUACCGAUUGCGAAGGCAGAUCACUAACAAUAUACUGACGCUCAUGGACGAAAGCGUGGGGAGCGAACAGGAUUAGAUACCCUGGUAGUCCACGCCGUAAACGAUGGAUACUAGCUGUUCGUCUAACAUUGGUUAGAUGAGUGGCUAAGCGAAAGUGAUAACUAUCCCACCUGGGGAGUACGGUCGCAAGACUGAAACUCAAAUGAAU
rnacentral:rRNA from 1 species